AUGUCAAAACCAUAAAGAAUGGUUUAAUCGUAGCAUAAAAGAGAUGAUUGGUAAAAGAGAUGUGGCUCAUAAAAGGUGGAACAAAUUCUAAACGGAGCAGCUUCAUGAUGAAUUUUGGUUGAGAAGAACAGAUGUUAAUAGAAUGAUACAAAGGCCCAAAGCAAAUUAUUAUGAAGCUAAUUUUCAAAAUGCUGCCAAUACCAGAAGGAAAUGGAAUACGAUACGAGAAUAGGCAAAUCCAGCGUACAUGCACUGAUGAGAAUCCGGAUGGCCUUAAUCAAUUAUUUGUCAAUGCUUCCCCAAAUAUUGCAUCCUCAGCAGCAGUACCUCCUUUUCCCCAAUCUUCAAAUUCGAAUUUUUCUGCGUGACAACACAGGAUGUCGUUGAAUGUUUCUUAUCUAAAACCAAAAAAUAUGAAGAAAAUUCGUUUUGUUCAAAGUAUGGAAACGGUUGCGGGGCUAUGUAGCCUUGAUUCGGAAUAUCACACAAUUGCAAAUUUAUUCCGUGUAUCAAAAUCAGCGGUGUGUAAAAUAGUGAAUUGAAUUUUGUCAGGAGAUCUGAUACACAGUCAUUCUUUUUGCUAUGGUUGAUUAUAAAUGCCGUUUUCUAUAUGUAAACGUCGGACAUCCAGAAAACUGUAAUGAUUCCCAGAUAUUCGAAAAUUCGAAGCUGAAGCAACAAAUUUUAA
rnacentral:sRNA from 1 species